UACGGAGGAUCCAAGCGUUAUCCGGAUUUAUUGGGCGUAAAGGGUGCGUAGGUGGCGCCGUUAGUCGGGUGUGAAAUUUCGGAGCUUAACUCCGAAACUGCAUUCGAUACUGCGGUGCUUGAGGACUGGAGAGGAGACUGGAAUUUACGGUGUAGCAGUGAAAUGCGUAGAGAUCGUAAGGAAGACCAGUGGCGAAGGCGGGUCUCUGGACAGUUCCUGACACUGAGGCACGAAGGCCAGGGGAGCAAACGGG
rnacentral:rRNA from 1 species